UGCUCAAUUUAGAUUAACAUUAUAUUUUAUAAUGCUACGUAAUUCCAUUUACUAAUAUAACGAUAUUUGAUCAAACUGUAUUAAGUACAUGAAUAUGUAUGAUGUAUGCUUAACACAGUUAAUGGUUUUUUAAGACUAUUAUAAUUAUUAUAAUAUUUGACCUUUCAGGAUUUGUCAAAGCAUAUCUUUGAGUUUGAUGAUGAAUUUAUCUUCAGCCUAAAGGAGUCCGAUGAACCAUUGGCUGUUGUUAGUCCAGAGGAACCCACACAGCCACUUCAUACAUCAACACCAAAGAAACCCAUACAUACAAGUAAAACAGGAAAAGGCAGACCAGUUCGGAG